AGAGUUUGAUCCUGGCUCAGAAUCAACGCUGGCGGCGCGCUUAACACAUGCAAGUCGAACGAGAAAGUCCCCUUCGGGGGAUGAGUAAAGUGGCGAACGGGUGAGUAACACGUGGAUUACCUGCCCUUGAGUGGGGAAUAACUCCGGGAAACUGGGGAUAAUACCGCAUACGAUCCUUCGGGACGAAAGUCCUCGGACGCUCAAGGAGGGGUCCGCGGCCGAUUAGCUAGUUGGCGGGGUAAAAGCCCACCAAGGCAAAGAUCGGUAGCCGGCCUGAGAGGGCGCACGGUCACACUGGCACUGAGACACGGGCCAGACUCCUACGGGAGGCAGCAGUGGGGAAUCUUGGACAAUGGGGGAAACCCUGAUCCAGCGACGCCGCGUGAGUGAUGAAGCCUUUCGGGGUGUAAAGCUCUUUCAGCGGGGACAAUAAUGAUGGUACCCGCACAAGCAG
rnacentral:rRNA from 1 species